UGGCGGACGGGUGAGUAAUGUCUGGGAAACUGCCUGAUGGAGGGGGAUAACUACUGGAAACGGUAGCUAAUACCGCAUAACGUCGCAAGACCAAAGAGGGGGACCUUCGGGCCUCUUGCCAUCGGAUGUGCCCAGAUGGGAUUAGCUAGUAGGUGGGGUAACGGCUCACCUAGGUGACGAUCCCUAGCUGGUCUGAGAGGAUGACCAGCCACACUGGGACUGAGACACGGCCCAGACUCCUACGGGAGGCAGCAUG
rnacentral:rRNA from 1 species